UGAACCUUUAAAAAAAAUAAUAAAUAAAAUAAAAUUCUUUGACCGGAACUCGAGAACAUAAGCUAACAGACUUUCCUCAAAGUAUAUGGAGAAAAAAGUAAAGAAUUCUUGUAUUUACAAAUCCAAAGUAGUCUAUUACAGUUAACAGCUCAAAAUCAAAUUAUUUUAUGGAUUGUUUCAUUUUCUAGUUUGCUUCUGUGGGAGACUUUUUGGCUUCAUCGGUAAUAGAUUCAACAAUGCACUCCACCUUUUCCUCAGCUUCCUGAACCUGCAGAUUUAGUUUAAUUAGUCAUUAGAUGGUUCAUACAAAUUAAAACUGAGUAGUAGCCCUAGAG
rnacentral:lncRNA from 1 species